UUAAAUUUUAUUUUUCAAGUCUUAUUAUUUUAAUUCACGCGAACGAGAAAGCCAUACGAGUCUCUUGGGAAAAACGAUACUUGGUCUUACCAUUUAUAUUACUUGUACGAUUUGGUACACUUGCCAAUCCGUCAACACUUGGCAUAGGCCAACAUUUGCUGUAAUGCUUCCGAGAAGGGUAUUUUGAUCUCCAAUUGCUUGAAGAUCUCCAUAAACCGCCCAUAUUGCUUCUCUUUCUCUUUUCUAGAGUAGAUUUUUGGGUAUGGGAGUAGUUUCUCAAAUUCCUUCUUCUUUCCCUCAACUUCCUCUCUCUUUUUUUCUUCUCUUACACACUCAUUUUUCUCACUUUUCUCCUCCACUUUUCUCUCCUCUUCCUCUUCCUCAUUGUUUUUCUCUCCACUAUCAUCUUCUCUUUUCUCUCAACUCUCUCUCUCCACUCCCUCAUUUUUCUCUUAUUUGUCCUCCCUCACUUUUUCAACUAACACCUUACCACUUCUAGUGGUGAUAACUUUACACUCUUCCUUUGGGUUAGCUUCUGUAUUGGCUC
rnacentral:lncRNA from 1 species